UACGUAGGGGGCAAGCGUUGUCCGGAAUCAUUGGGCGUAAAGCGCGUGUAGGCGGCCCGAUAAGUCCGCUGUGAAAGUCCAGGGCUCAACCCUGGAAUGCCGGUGGAUACUGUCGGGCUCGAGUCCGGAAGAGGCGAGUGGAAUUCCUGGUGUAGCGGUGAAAUGCGCAGAUAUCAGGAAGAACACCCGUGGCUAAGGCGGCUCCCUAGUACGGUACUGACGCUGAGACGCGAAAGCGUGGGGAGCGAACAGG
rnacentral:rRNA from 1 species